rnacentral:lncRNA from 1 species
AGUGUUCCUGGAGUCUCGCUGCCCAGAUGCCACGGAAUCAGUUGAAGGACGUGGCAGCUGGUUGGACGAGGGGAGCUGGUGGGCAGGGUUUGAUCCCAGGGCCUGGGCAACGGAGGUGUAGCUGGCAGCAGCGGGCAGGUGAGGACCCCAUCUGCCGGGCAGGUGAGUCCCUUCCCUCCCCAGGCCUCGCUUCCCCAGCCUUCUGAAAGAAGGAGGUUUAGGGGAUCGAGGGCUGGCGGGGAGAAGCAGACACCCUCCCAGCAGAGGGGCAGGAUGGGGGCAGGAGAGUUAGCAAAGGUGACAUCUUCUCGGGGGGAGCCGAGACUGCGCAAGGCUGGGGGGUUAUGGGCCCGUUCCAGGCAGAAAGAGCAAGAGGGCAGGGAGGGAGCACAGGGGUGGCCAGCGUAGGGUCCAGCACGUGGGGUGGUACCCCAGGCCUGGGUCAGACAGGGACAUGGCAGGGGACACAGGACAGAGGGGUCCCCAGCUGCCACCUCACCCACCGCAAUUCAUUUAGUAGCAGGCACAGGGGCAGCUCCGGCACGGCUUUCUCA